GAUGAACGCUGGCGGCGUGCCUAAUACAUGCAAGUCGAGCGAACAGAUAAGGAGCUUGCUCCUUUGACGUUAGCGGCGGACGGGUGAGUAACACGUGGGUAACCGACCUAUAAGACUGGUAUAACUUCGGGAAACCGGAGCUAAUACCGGAUAACAUUUGGAACCGCAUGGUUCUAAAGUGAAAGAUGGUUUUGCUAUCACUUAUAGAUGGACCCGCGCCGUAUUAUCUAGUUGGUAAGGUAACGGCUUACCAAGGCAACGAUACGUAGCCGACCUGAGAGGGGGAUGGGACACACUGGAACUGAGACGCGGUACAGACUCCUACGGGAGGCAGAAGUAGGGAAUCUUGCGAAAUGGGCGAAAGCCUGACGGAGCAACGCCGCGUGAGUGAUGAAGGGUUUCGGCUCGUAAAACUCUGUUAUUAGGGAAGACCAAACGUGUAAGUAACUGUGCACGUCUUGACGGUACCUAAUCAGAAAGCCACGGCUAACUACGUG
rnacentral:rRNA from 1 species